UACGGAGGGUGCAAGCGUUAUCCGGAUUCACUGGGUUUAAAGGGUGCGUAGGCGGGCAGGUAAGUCAGUGGUGAAAUCUCCGAGCUUAACUCGGAAACUGCCAUUGAUACUAUUUGUCUUGAAUAUUGUGGAGGUAAGCGGAAUAUGUCAUGUAGCGGUGAAAUGCUUAGAUAUGACAUAGAACACCAAUUGCGAAGGCAGCUUACGACACAAUGAUUGACGCUGAGGCACGAAAGCGUGGGGAGCAAACAGG
rnacentral:rRNA from 1 species